AGUGAACGCUGGCGGCAUGCCUAACACAUGCAAGUCGAACGGCAGCACAGUAAUAGCUUGCUCUUACGGGUGGCGAGUGGCGGACGGGUGAGGAAUACAUCGGAAUCUACUUUUUCGUGGGGGAUAACGUAGGGAAACUUACGCUAAUACCGCAUACGACCUACGGGUGAAAGCAUGGGAUCUUCGGACCUUGCGCGAUUGAAUGAGCCGAUGUCGGAUUAGCUAGUUGGCGGGGUAAAGGCCCACCAAGGCGACGAUCCGUAGCUGGUCUGAGAGGAUGAUAAGCCACACUGGAACUGAGACACGGUCCAGACUCCUACGGGAGGCAGCAGUGGGGAAUAUUGGACAAUGGGCGCAAGCCUGAUCCAGCCAUACCGCGUGGGUGAAGAAGGCCUUCGGGUUGUAAAGCCCUUUUGUUGGGAAAGAAAAGCAGCAGGUUAAUACCACGCUGUUCUGACGGUACCCAAAGAAUAAGCACCGGCUAACUUCGUG
rnacentral:rRNA from 1 species